rnacentral:rRNA from 1 species
UAUGACUCGUACAGGAUAAUUACACAUGCAAGUCGAACCGGUGUAGCAAUACACCAGUGGCAGACGGGUGAGUAACACGUGGGAAUGUGCCCUUCGGUUCGGAACAACCCAGGGAAACUUGGGCUAAUACCGGAUACGUCCGCGAGGAGAAAGAUUCAUCGCCGGAGGAGCAGCCCGCGUCUGAUUAGCUAGUUGGUGUGGUAAUGGCGCACCAAGGCGACGAUCAGUAGCUGGUCUGAGAGGAUGAUCAGCCACACUGGGACUGAGACACGGCCCAGACUCCUACGGGAGGCAGCAGUGGGGAAUAUUGGACAAUGGGGGCAACCCUGAUCCAGCCAUGCCGCGUGAGUGAUGAAGGCCCUAGGGUUGUAAAGCUCUUUCGGUGGGGAAGAUAAUGACGGUACCCACAGAAGAAGCCCCGGCUAACUUCGUGCCAGCAGCCGCGGUAAUACGAAGGGGGCUAGCGUUGCUCGGAAUCACUGGGCGUAAAGCGCACGUAGGCGGGUCUCUAAGUCGGGGGUGAAAUCCCGGAGCUCAACUCCGGAACUGCCCUCGAUACUGGGGACC